UAUUAACAGAAUAAUGCCUUUGUAAGAUAAAUAAUUUAUUAUAUUAAACAAAGUAAAAUAUGAUUAAAUACUAAAAUAAGGCAAACUAUAUUGAGACUUUACUGCGAUCAUAACUCAACGACUAUGACUAAAAGUUGGUUCCCACUAACACGGAACCGUGGCAGAAAAUACAUGUGUGAUGAAAGUGCUACAGCUUUGACAUCAUACCACAGUGUAAAAACUGCUAGCAUCCAGUGUCUAGAUGGAUUCAACUUUUCCAUGACAGUAAAAUCUGUUCAGAUAACAUCCACCAGUGAAAUCCAUGUAUUUUGUGAUGUUGAAUUGUUAGCAACCUUGACUAAGUCAAGAUGGCGG
rnacentral:lncRNA from 1 species